ACUCCGUGCCAGCAGCCGCGGUAAGACGGAGGGUGCAAACGUUGUUCGGAAUCACUGGGCAUAAAGAGCACGUAGGCGGUCCGUUAAGUCAGAUGUGAAAUCCCCCGGCUCAACCGGGGAACUGCACCUGAUACUGACGGACUCGAGGACGGUAGGGGUGAGCGGAACUCCAGGUGGAGCGGUGAAAUGCGUAGAUAUCUGGAGGAACACCGGUGGCGAAAGCGGCUCACUGGACCGUCUCUGACGCUGAGGUGCGAAAGCUAGGGUAGCAAACGGGAUUAGAUACCCCGGUAGUCCUAGCCGUAAACGAUGGGCACUAGGCAAUGGGAUCGCCUAUGGAUCUCCUUGCCGGAGCAAAUGUAUUAAGUGCCCCGCCUGGGGAGUACGCUCGCAAGGGUGAAACUCAAAGGAGUUGACGGGGACCCGCACAAGCGGUGGAGCAUGUGUUUUAAUUCGAAGCAACGCGCAGA
rnacentral:rRNA from 1 species